UACGUAGGGGCAAGCGUUAUCCGGAUUUACUGGGUGUAAAGGGAGCGCAGACGGAACUGCAAGUCUGAUGUGAAAGCCCGGGGCUCAAACCGCGGGACUGCAUCGGAUACUGUAGAUCUGGAGUGCCGGAGGGGCAAGCGGAAUUCCUGGUGUAGCGGUGAAAUGCGUAGAUAUCAGGAGGAACACCGGCGGAGAAGGCGGCUUGCUGGACGGCAACUGACGUUGAGGCUCGAAAGCGUGGGGAGCAAACAGGAUUAGAUACCCG
rnacentral:rRNA from 1 species